GGCCAGAUCAUACAGUAUGGGAAUUGCUAAGCCAUGAACUGAACCAAUGAUUGAGCACCUGGUGAAGGGACACAGCCAGCCCUGGGAGCACAGGUGAAAGCAAUUCACCUGCGUGACUGGAAGAGGUAGAACCAGGUUCUGCCCCUCUCCAAGCUGCAUUUAAGGGCUGGUUGCCACAAGGGAAGGGUUUGUAUCCGGAGAUCUUUCUGGUGGAGUAUUUGGCAAGGCCUGAUCCUAAGGACAGGUGCUGUCUAGCAAGAGCAAGGGAAUAACCACUGAUGUCUCAGCUCUGCUGCUGGUAAAUGGCUUUAACGGAAGGAGAAGAAGCCAAAGUUAAAAUAUUCAGCUCAUUGGGAAUUUCAGAAAGAGCCCAUCGCUCUGCAUCUCUACUUCUCCAGGCUUUGUUUUUUGCUCUUCCCCACCAUAAACCUCCUAGGAGAUCUUCAGAAAGUUGUUUACUCCUUCUGCGUCUUGGCAUCCAUAGACAGAGCAAGAUAAAUGUGAUGUUGUGAAAAUAAAACCAUGGAAGGCUGCAAGCACUCAGCCACAGUGCAGAAGACAACCAUACGAGUAUCUUCAGUAGAGAGCAAUAAAUGACCCUGGUCAGAUAGGACAUGGUGAGAAGACGACUGAACUUCAUAUGGUACAUUUCUGACCUGUCUUCACUGAGAAGCAAGAAGUAUUUUCUACUGUGACGCAGCGGUUUUCAAAAAGAACUUUGAAAUUUUUGAAGUCAAGCUGCAAAAUUACGACCAAGAUGCUCCUUGACUAAUGGUGAAACACCUGCAAGAUAAGUGGAGGAAAGGAUAGGUAAAAGAAACUCUGUCUUUAGUUCAAGCAAAGUACAAAGGUGAUAAUUUCAGAGCUGAGCUUACUGGAAUUUUAUUUCCUGAUAUGUUCCAACAGUCACACUGCACAUAUGGACCCUUCCUAAAAAUACCCAAUGGAGACCUACUUACAAAACUGGUGACUUAGUUGAUAUUACAGAGAAACAGUUCUGUGAAAGUAGAGGAAUCCGAAAAUAGUGAAUUAGGAUCUUUACCGUCAACUUCAAGGUUGACCCAAAGGCACGAGGAAGGAAAGCAAAACAAAAAAGUCAACACAGUCUAAGGAUUAGCUCCUUUCUGCUGGAAACAGAAAGCUCUUUCUCACUUGAUCAAAGCUGCUAUGUACAGUUCUUCUACUGCAACAGACUACGGAACGAUGAGCUCCUGGCUGAGCAGGGAGAUGGAUAACUUUGUACAGCUCUCUGACUGUUCUGUCCCAAGGUAUUCAUGCAAUCCAUUUGCAGCUUGGUUCUUCCUUUCCUUACCUGCACGUUAUAGACAGCAUUUUGCUGGUGCAUAAAAAGAGCUGAAAAAGGAUGACAAAAACAGGGCCAGUAAUAUAUUAUAAAUCCACAAAAAAUAAUAGAGACAUACUAGAAUUUGCAAAACCACGCAAAACUUAGAGAACAGAGCAGAAUUAUCAGAUUUGUGUCCUGUGUUGUAUUCAUGCUGUCAUCUUUUGGCAUUAUAAAAUAUGAAGGAAUUUGCUGAUUUAUUUGAGAUAUUAUCUGCUUGCUACUUAGGCGUGACAUUGUGAACAACUGCACAGCAGGAGAAAGGUAGAACCACAAAUGAACCGUGGCAAGUAAACUACAUCCAGGCAGCACAACACCAGCAGCAAUAGGAACUUACCGAGCGAAACACUUAGCAAACAAUGUCAGACUUAAUUUUUAGUUACCAAGAAAGUAAAAUUAAGUCACACUGAAAUUACAAACAAAAAGUAACAACAAAAAGGGCAUUAAGAACGAGAAAAGAUGCACUGUGGAC